rnacentral:rRNA from 1 species
GGGACCCGCACAAGCGGUGGAUGAUGUGGAUUAAUCGAUGCAACGCGAAAACCUUACCUACCCUUGACAUGUCCGGAAUCCCGAAGAGAUUUGGGAGUGCUCGCAAGAGAGCCGGAACACAGGUGCUGCAUGGCUGUCGUCAGCUCGUGUCGUGAGAUGUUGGGUUAAGUCCCGCAACGAGCGCAACCCUUGUCAUUAGUUGCCAUCAUUUGGUUGGGCACUCUAAUGAGACUGCCGGUGACAAACCGGGGGAAGGUGGGGGAUGACGUCAAGUCCUCAUGGCCCUUAUGGGUAGGGCUUCACACGUCAUACAAUGGUCGGUACAGAGGGUUGCCAACCCGCGAGGGGGAGCUAAUCCCACAAAGCCGAUCGUAGUCCGGAUCGCAGUCUGCAACUCGACUGCGUGAAGUCGGAAUCGCUAGUAAUCGUGGAUCAGCAUGUCACGGUGAAUACGUUCCCAGGUCUU